rnacentral:rRNA from 1 species
AUUGAACGCUGGCGGCAGGCCUAACACAUGCAAGUCGAACGGUAACAGGAAGCAGCUUGCUGCUUCGCUGACGAGUGGCGGACGGGUGAGUAAUGUCUGGGAAACUGCCUGAUGGAGGGGGAUAACUACUGGAAACGGUAGCUAAUACCGCAUAACGUCGCAAGACCAAAGAGGGGGACCUUCGGGCCUCUUGCCAUCGGAUGUGCCCAGAUGGGAUUAGCUAGUAGGUGGGGUAACGGCUCACCUAGGCGACGAUCCCUAGCUGGUCUGAGAGGAUGACCAGCCACACUGGAACUGAGACACGGUCCAGACUCCUACGGGGGGCAGCAGUGGGGAAUAUUGCACAAUGGGCGCAAGCCUGAUGCAGCCAUGCCGCGUGUAUGAAGAAGGCCUUCGGGUUGUAAAGUACUUUCAGCGGGGAGGAAGGGAGUAAAGUUAAUACCUUUGCUCAUUGACGUUACCCGCAGAAGAAGCGCCGGCUAACUCCGUG